GUGCUCACUUUGGUAGUACAUAUACUAAAAUUGGAACAAUACAGAGAUUAGCAUGGCCCCUGCACAAGGAGGACACAACAAUUCGUGAAAUGUUCCAUAAAAAA